rnacentral:rRNA from 1 species
UGGGGGAUAUUGCACAAUGGGGAAACCCUGAUGCAGCGACGCCGCGUGAGUGAAGAAGUAUUUCGGUAUGUAAAGCUCUAUCCGCAGGGAAGAUAAUGACAGUACCUGACUAAGAAGCCCCGGCUAACUACGUGCCAGCAGCCGCGGUAAUACGUAGGGGGCAAGCGUUAUCCGGAUUUACUGGGUGUAAAGGGAGCGUAGGCGGCCAGUCAAGUCAGAAGUGAAAGCCCAGGGCUCAACCCUGGGACUGCUUUUGAAACUGUCUGGCUGGAGUGUCGGAGAGGUAAGUGGAAUUCCUAGUGUAGCGGUGAAAUGCGUAGAUAUUAGGAGGAACACCAGUGGCGAAGGCGGCUUACUGGACGAUAACUGACGCUGAGGCUCGAAAGCGUGGGGAGCAAACAGGAUUAGAUACCCUGGUAGU